rnacentral:rRNA from 1 species
AAUAGAUACCCGGGUAGUCCACGCCGUAAACGAUGAGUGCUAAGUGUUAGAGGGUUUCCGCCCUUUAGUGCUGCAGCUAACGCAUUAAGCACUCCGCUUGGGGAGUACGGCCGCAAGGCUGAAACUCAAAGGAAUUGACGGGGGCCCGCACAAGCGGUGGAGCAUGUGGUUUAAUUCGAAGCAACGCGAAGAACCUUACCAGGUCUUGACAUCCUCUGCCAACCCUAGAGAUAGGGCGUUCCCCCUUCGGGGGACAGAGUGACAGGUGGUGCAUGGUUGUCGUCAGCUCGUGUCGUGAGAUGUUGGGUUAAGUCCCGCAACGAGCGCAACCCUUGAUCUUAGUUGCCAGCAUUCAGUUGGGCACUCUAAGGUGACUGCCGGUGACAAACCGGAGGAAGGUGGGGAUGACGUCAAAUCAUCAUGCCCCUUAUGACCUGGGCUACACACGUGCUACAAUGGAUGGUACAAAGAGCUGCGAACCCGCGAGGGUAAGCGAAUCUCAUAAAGCCAUUCUCAGUUCGGAUUGC